CAUAUUUUUAUAAUACUUACCUAUGACUAUAUUAUUAUUGUCCAGUCAUAACACACAAUAGCAAUUUACAAUUUAUACCUAUUAUACAUUUGUAUAGCAUUGUUCAGUAUAACAUACGUUCAUUCUUUAAAUUAGAUGUUCCAGUAAUAUUAUAUUGUCAUUGAUUUUUCGGAUUGAAAUUUUAAAAAUUUUUAAGAUAAGGUACCCAACUAUAAUAAUUAUCCCGAUGAUCAUCAUUAAACAAUUAGUAUCGAUAACCUAUUAAUUAUUUAGGCAUGUUUUACGACACUAAUGCCAAUGAGCACAUGAUACUGGGGACGGGUGUGACACUGUUAUAGGUAGAAUGUUAGUAAGGUCUUAUGUAUAAAACAUAUUUAACUUAUAUCUGUAAGCUAUGAUAUUUUGAUUUUUUCCAAAUAUAUUAUGAAUACUACUGAAAAUAUCAAAAAACCACUUUAUUCAUGAACUAGAUCCAAAAUGUAACCAAAAAUUUGGUGUCUUAUUUUUCUAUUGGAG